GCAGCCGCGGUAAUACGUAGGGUGCAAGCGUUGUCCGGAAUCAUUGGGCGUAAAGAGCUCGUAGGCGGUCUGUCGCGUCUGCUGUGAAAACCUGGGGCUUAACCCCGGGCCUGCAGUGGGUACGGGCAGACUAGAGUGCGGUAGGGGAGACUGGAAUUCCUGGUGUAGCGGUGAAAUGCGCAGAUAUCAGGAGGAACACCGGUGGCGAAGGCGGGUCUCUGGGCCGUAACUGACGCUGAGGAGCGAAAGCAUGGGUAGCGAACAGGAUUAGAUACCCUGGUAGUCCAUGCCGUAAACGUUGGGCGCUAGGUGUGGGGCUCAUUCCACGAGUUCCGUGCCGCAGCAAACGCAUUAAGCGCCCCGCCUGGGGAGUACGGCCGCAAGGCUAAAACUCAAAGGAAUUGACGGGGCCCCGCACAAGCGGCGGAGCAUGCGGAUUAAUUCGAUGCAACGCGAAGAACCUUACCAAGGCUUGACAUGCAGGGAAAUCUCCCAGAGAUGGGAGGUCCGCAAGGGUCCUGCACAGGUGGUGCAUGGUUGUCGUCAGCUCGUGUCGUGAGAUGUUGGGUUAAGUCCCGCAACGAGCGCAACCCUCGUUCUAUGUUGCCAGCGGGUAAUGCCGGGGACUCAUAGGAGACUGCCGGGGUCAACUCGGAGGAAGGUGGGGAUGACGUCAAAUCAUCAUGCCCCUUAUGUCUUGGGCUUCACGCAUGCUACAAUGGCCAGUACAAAGGGCUGCGAGACCGUAAGGUGGAGCGAAUCCCAAAAAGCUGGUCUCAGUUC
rnacentral:rRNA from 1 species